GUAAUACGUAGGUGGCAAGCGUUGUCCGGAUUUAUUGGGCGUAAAGCGAGCGCAGGCGGUUUUUUAGGUCUGAUGUGAAAGCCUUCGGCUUAACCGGAGAAGUGCAUCGGAAACCGGGAGACUUGAGUGCAGAAGAGGACAGUGGAACUCCAUGUGUAGCGGUGAAAUGCGUAGAUAUACGGAAGAACACCAGUGGCGAAGGCGGCUGUCUGGUCUGCAACUGACGCUGAGGCUCGAAAGCAUGGGUAGCGAACAGGAUUAGAUACCCUGGUAGUCCAUGCCGUAAACGAUGAGUGCUAAGUGUUGGAGGGUUUCCGCCCUUCAGUGCUGCAGCUAACGCAUUAAGCACUCCGCCUGGGGAGUACGACCGCAAGGUUGAAACUCAAAGGAAUUGACGGGGGCCCGCACAAGCGGUGGAGCAUGUGGUUUAAUUCGAUGCUACGCGAAGAACCUUACCAGGUCUUGACAUCUUCUGCUAACCUAAGAGAUUAGGCGUUCCCUUCGGGGACGGAAUGACAGGUGGUGCAUGGUUGUCGUCAGCUCGUGUCGUGAGAUGUUGGGUUAAGUCCCGCAACGAGCGCAACCCUUAUUGUCAGUUGCCAGCAUUCAGUUGGGCACUCUGGCGAGACUGCCGGUGACAAACCGGAGGAAGGUGGGGAUGACGUCAAAUCAUCAUGCCCCUUAUGACCUGGGCUACACACGUGCUACAAUGGACGGUACAACGAGUCGCGAAACCGCGAGGUCAAGCUAAUCUCUGAAAGCCGUUCUCAGUUCGGAUUGCAGGCUGCAACUCGCCUGCAUGAAGUUGGAAUCGCUAGUAAUCGUGGAUCAGCAUGCCACGGUGAAUACGUUCCCGGGCCUUGUACACACCGCCCGUCACACCAUGAGAGUUUGUAACACCCAAAGCCGGUGAGGUAACCUUCGGGAACCAGCCGUCUAAGGUGGGACAGAUGAUUAGGGUGAAGUCGUAACAAGGUAGCCGUAGGAGAACCUGCGGCUGGAUCACCUCCUUUCUAA
rnacentral:rRNA from 1 species